rnacentral:rRNA from 1 species
CCUACGGGUGGCAGCAGUGGGGAAUAUUGGACAAUGGGGGCAACCCUGAUCCAGCCAUGCCGCGUGUGUGAAGAAGGCCCUCGGGUUGUAAAGCACUUUCAGUGAGGAAGAACGCCUGGUGGUUAAUACCCAUCAGGAAAGACAUCACUCACAGAAGAAGCACCGGCUAACUCCGUGCCAGCAGCCGCAGUAAUACGGAGGGUGCGAGCGUUAAUCGGAAUUACUGGGCGUAAAGCGCGCGUAGGUGGCUUGAUAAGCCGGUUGUGAAAGCCCCGGGCUCAACCUGGGAACGGCAUCCGGAACUGUCCAGCUAGAGUGCAGGAGAGGAAGGUAGAAUUCCCGGUGUAGCGGUGAAAUGCGUAGAGAUCGGGAGGAAUACCAGUGGCGAAGGCGGCCUUCUGGACUGACACUGACACUGAGGUGCGAAAGCGUGGGUAGCAAACAGGAUUAGAUACCCUAGUAGUC